rnacentral:rRNA from 2 species
UACGGAGGGUGCAAGCGUUGUUCGGAAUUAUUGGGCGUAAAGGGCGCGUAGGUGGUUGUGAUAGUCAGAUGUGAAAUCCUUCGGCUCAACCGAAGAACUGCAUCUGAAACUUCAUAGCUCGAGUACAGGAGAGGGAAACGGAAUUCCCGGUGUAGAGGUGAAAUUCGUAGAUAUCGGGAGGAACACCAGUGGCGAAGGCGGUUUCCUGGCCUGAUACUGACGCUGAGGCGCGAAAGCGUGGGGAGCAAACAGG